UAACUUUCUUGUUUUGUACACAUUUUAAGAAAUUAAUGUUUGUACUUUGUGCGUCAAUACUGUGCGAUCCCCAACGACAGCUUAUUAGAAAUCUACUACUAGGAAGUGUCACCAGUUAGAGUUAUAAAAUGACCAACGUAAACACUUAUGUGAAGAAUUUUAUAUAACUUUUGAGAAUUCGUCGACAAUGCAUAUUGUUUAUGGUAUUCACGUGUGAACGUACAUGUAGGUUUCUCAAAGUGAGAACAAAGGC
rnacentral:lncRNA from 1 species